CUUUGCCAAAGCUUUUUUUUUUUUUUUUUAAAUGCGUUGUUUAGAAGGAGAAUUGAGUUCACGUCACGUCAGAGUAGGCGUUCCCUAACUGAAAUAUGCAAAUAUUGGCUUAGAACGCGCCAAUAGGAUCUCGCUAGCUCUUGCUUGGCUCUGCCCACUAUGACUCAUUAGUUCCGGUUUGAAACGACGGGCUGUGGUCUAUCUUGGUUUUCUUCUACAGAUCUUCGGUGAAACCCAGGAAGAGGCGGCUUCACGUCGAGUGGCAAAACAUCCGUCCAAUUAUCUGAUUCGCUUUCCAAACACCCACAGCUUUCGACAAACCCACUCUCCGGUCGCCAUAUUUGGCUGCAGCUGCUCAUACUUGGAUAGGGUGGUACCACAGAUAGAACAAUGAGACAUGUUUUACUGGAUGGAUAAAUGUGAAGUGAGGAAGCCUAGUUGCCGGCAAUGGGAGAAGAUGGAUUUUGACCGAUAUUCUGCACAUUUUCUCACCGAUUAAACAUUUGAUCUCAAUACAGUUUUCUGUUGUCCAAAACUAAAAUAUGUCACGAACAGAGUGGACUACAUUUUUUGUAGACUUUAGUCUUUGCCAAAGUUACGAAAAAAAAUAAGCAUUGUUCAGGAGUACACACGCGCACUCCACAGAGUAGGCGUAGCCUAACGGAAAUAUGCAAAUAUUGGCUUGGAACGCGCCAAUAGGAUCUCGCUAGCUCUUGUUUGGCUCUGCCCACUAUGACUCAGUAGUUCCCGUUUGAAACGACGGGCUGUGGUCUAUCUUGGUUUUCUUCUACAGAUCUUUGGUGGUCUUCAAUAGGGCUGUUGUGUGUUGGUGAGGAGAGGUUGCAGCUAGCCCUGGGAAAUAUUCAGUGUGGAAAGAAGAAAUAAUAAUACAAAACAGUUUUACUAAGAGUGCCCGUGUUUAUAUGUGAGGAAUUUGCAAUAAGCUGCAUAAUUUACCGAGGAUUCAAGGUACGUCAGGAUGAAACGCCUCAGGUCUUCAAGCAGCAGUGACAGUUCUGACAACGAGAGUCCUUCCACCUCCUUCUGCUCCUCUAACAAGUAUGGAAGUAAACCUGGAACCCCUGCCUCCGUGCCCAAGAAACCAGCCGAGGUACGCCCUUUACCCACACACACACACACACACACACACACACACACCUCCCGUCAGAGGUACGCCAUGCUGCCGUUCCUUUACACACACACCUCCCGUCAGUUACGCCACGCUGCCGUUCCUUUACACACACACACACACACCUCCCGUCAGUUACGCCACGCUGCCGUUACUUUAGCCACACACACACACACACCUCCCGUCAGAGGUACGCCACGCUGCCGUUCCUUUACACACACACACACACACCUCACGUCAGCUUCCUGA
rnacentral:lncRNA from 8 species